CCCUUAGAUGUUCUGGGCUGCACACGUGCUACACUGGCAGGUUCAGCGAGCUUCAUGCCCUGAUCUGAAAGGAAUGGAAAUCUUUUCAAAACCUGCCGUGCUUGGGAUAGAUGUUUGCAAUUAUUCAUCUUCAACGAGGAUUGCCUUGUAAGCGCACGUCAUCAGCGUGCAUUGAAUACGACCCUGUAUUCUGUACACACCGCCCGUCGCUCCUACCGAUUGAAGUUUUCGGUGAGUUGACAGGAGGAUUUUUUUGAAACUGGUUCGCCAGUGGAUUUUAGAUCCAAAUGCCAACGAAUCGAUGGCUUUAGAGGAAGGAGAAGUCGUAACA
rnacentral:rRNA from 1 species